GCGCAGCAGUCGAGAAUCCUCCACAAUGCGGGAAACCGUGAUGGGGGAAUCCGAGUGCCCGUUGGCUAAUGCUGGCGGGCUUUUCUCAAGCGUAAAAGGCUUGAGGAAUAAGGACUGGGUAAGACCGGUGCCAGCCGCCGCGGUAACACCGGCGGGCCAACUGGUGAUCAGCAUUAUUGGGGUCUAAAGCGUCCGUAGCCGGAUGGUUGGAUUUCGAGUGAAAUUCCCCAGCUUAACUGGGGGGC
rnacentral:rRNA from 1 species